GAUGAAGAACGCAGCGAAAUGCGAUAACUAAUGUGAAUUGCAGAAUUCCGUGAAUCAUCGAGUCUUUGAACGCACAUUGCGCCCCCUGGUAUUCCGGGGGGCAUGCCUGUCCGAGCGUCAUUGCUGCCCAUCAAGCACGGCUUGUGUGUUGGGUCCUCGUCCCCCCCGGGGGACGUGCCCGAAAGGCAGCGGCGGCACCGCGUCCGGUCCUCGAGCGUAUGGGGCUUUGUCACCCGCUCUGCAGGCCCGGCCGGCGCUGGCCGACGCGAAAGCAACCAUUUUUUCUCCAGGUUGACCUCGGAUCAGGUAGGGAUACCCGCUGAACUUAAGCAUAUUAAUAAGCGGAGGA
rnacentral:misc_RNA from 1 species